rnacentral:lncRNA from 1 species
CAAAAAAUGGAACUUGAUGGAAUCUGGGUUUGGUUUGAGCUCGUCGCAUGUUGAAGCUGUCGUUCGAUGCUGCGUUUCGAAUUCCGUUUGGAAUUAAUCUGCAAUCUGCUGCUGUUGUUGAUACCGAAAUAGCCGAGCUCCAUCCCGUCCUUUUUCUCCUUUAGGCUGUUGGAAUUAGUCAUCCUCUUUGGCAUUAAGGUGCUGUUUUCUACACUGUAUACAUGCUAUUUUAAAUAAGAGUUAUGUUAACAUUAC